rnacentral:rRNA from 1 species
CAAGGGGGUCAUCCCGACUUACCAACCCGAUGCAAACUGCGAAUACCGGAGAAUGUUAUCACGGGAGACACACGGCGGGUGCUAACGUCCGUCGUGAAGAGGGAAACAACCCAGACCGCCAGCUAAGGUCCCAAAGUCAUGGUUAAGUGGGAAACGAUGUGGGAAGGCCCAGACAGCCAGGAUGUUGGCUUAGAAGCAGCCAUCAUUUAAAGAAAGCGUAAUAGCUCACUGGUCGAGUCGGCCUGCGCGGAAGAUGUAACGGGGCUAAACCAUGCACC